GCGGACGGGUGAGUAACGCGUGGGUAACCUGCCUCAUACAGGGGGAUAACAGUUGGAAACGGCUGCUAAUACCGCAUAAGCGCACAGUACCGCAUGGUACGGUGUGAAAAACUCCGGUGGUAUGAGAUGGACCCGCGUCUGAUUAGGUAGUUGGUGGGGUAACGGCCUACCAAGCCGACGAUCAGUAGCCGACCUGAGAGGGUGACCGGCCACAUUGGGACUGAGACACGGCCCAA
rnacentral:rRNA from 1 species